UAGUGAUAUAGAGCAAAACCUAAAAACGGUCUCAGUUCGGAUUGAAGGCUGAAAUUCGCCUUCAUGAAGCUGGAAUUGCUAGUAAUGGCAGGUCAGCAUACUGCCGUGAAUACGUUCCCGGGCCUUGUACACACCGCCCGUCAAGCCAUGGAAGCCGGGGGGUGCCUGAAGUGCGCUGCCGCGAGGAGCGCCCUAGGGUAAAACCGGUGACUGGGGCUAAGUCGUAACAAGGUAAC
rnacentral:rRNA from 1 species